CAGAAGUGUCUCAUUUGCUGGGACAAAAAUAUCAAGGAAGGCAGGAGGAGCUGUCUGUCUUCUCAAGUCAAAUGACUUUCUUCGGAAUGUGUUUGAGCUUGGUCCACCAGUAAUGCUGGAUGCUGCCACCCUUAAAACAAUGAAGAUAUCCCGUUUUGAAAGGCACUUGUACAACUCUGCAGCAUUCAAGGCUCGGACAAAGGCUAGAAGUAAAUGUCGUGAUAAAAGAGCAGAUGUGGGGGAAUUUUUUUAGAUUCCCUUUCAAUGGCGUUCAAUUUUCAUAAUUCAAAUAAAUUUGUAACAUUUGAAUGAAUUUUUUAAUUUGUGUAGUCAGUUUGAAGUUGUGCACGGCUUUGUUACAUAGUCUGUAAAUAUAAUGCAUGCUGUUGCUUAGUUGCAUAUACAUUGUAUAUAGGUUGAUGUAACAUUUGGUACAGGGAUACAUUAUAUUACCAUACAGUAGCCCCCCCCCUCCUAGCUACAAAGGUUGAUUAUGGUGUAACUGGUGCAUUAAAUGGGGUGGAUAACUACUCAAAUGCUGUGUGUUGGAUUGGAUCCUUUAUAUAAAGGUAAAGGAAUUCAUUGACCAAGUGUUCUGGUAUGAAUGUGCUAAUAUGGAAAGAUGACCAUGUCCGUGUGGAAUUAUUUUAGUAACUUUUUAGAAGUCUUCAGUGGUAGAUGGACAAGAAAUUCCUAUGUAAGUAUAGCUUCCUCCUGACAAGGGACAAUGAAGUUCAGUAACUUCCACUGACAGUCAGAUACUUAUUGCAAUUACAAAUACUUGCCUCCAUGUAAAAUAAAAGCAAGAUUCUUGUGUUCUGAAAUUGAAUAUUUAAUUUUUGGAAUAAAGAUGUUUCUCACUGCUGGC